CGCCUCUUGAUAAUAAGCACGAGAGGUUGGGCUGCCCGGUGAAUAACUAUUUAACGGCCGCAGUGAAUAACUGUGCUAAGGUAGCAGUAAUAAAUUGUCUCUUAAUUGCGAGAAGGGUAUGAAUGGUUUGACAGUGGUACGUUUCUGUCUCAAUAAUAGUAUUGCGAAAUUUUCAUUUAAGUUAAAAGUCUUAAAUAUAGAUAAAAGACGAGAAGACCCUGUCGAGCUUAAUAAAAUUAUGUAAAGAUUUCAUAUAAUAAAUUUAACUGGGGCAGUUGAGAACCAAAAAAUAGUUCUUUAUUAUUUGAAGAUCCGGUUUUACCGAUCAUAAGAAAAAGCUACCGCAGGAUAACAGCGUUAUCCUUUCUAAGAGAACUAAUUGAAGAAAGGGUUUGCGACCUCGAUGUUGGAUUAAAGUUUCUUUUUGGUGCAGCAGCUAAAAUAGUAGGACUGUUCGUCCUUUAAAACUUU
rnacentral:rRNA from 1 species